rnacentral:rRNA from 1 species
AGAGUUUGAUCCUGGCUCAGAUUGAACGCUGGCGGCAUGCCUUACACAUGCAAGUCGAACGGCAGCGCGGACUUCGGUCUGGCGGCGAGUGGCGAACGGGUGAGUAAUGCAUCGGAACGUGCCUUUCAGUGGGGGAUAACGUAGCGAAAGUUACGCUAAUACCGCAUAUUCUGUGAGCAGGAAAGCAGGGGAUCGCAAGACCUUGCGCUGAUGGAGCGGCCGAUGUCAGAUUAGCUAGUUGGUGGGGUAAAAGCUCACCAAGGCGACGAUCUGUAGCGGGUCUUAGAGGAUGAUCCGCCACACUGGAACUGAGACACGGUCCAGACUCCUACGGGAGGCAGCAGUGGGGAAUUUUGGACAAUGGGCGCAAGCCUGAUCCAGCCAUGCCGCGUGAGUGAAGAAGGCCUUCGGGUUGUAAAGCUCUUUCGGCCGGGAAAAAAUCGCUUGGGUUAAUACCCUGAGUGGAUGAUGGUACCGGAAUAAGAAGCACCGGCUAACUACGUGCCAGCAGCCGCGGUAAUACGUAGGGUGCGAGCGUUAAUCGGAAUUACUGGGCGUAAAGCGUGCGCAGGCGGUUUUGUAAGACAGGCGUGAAAUCCCCGGGCUCAACCUGGGAACUGCGUUUGUGACUGCAAGGCUAGAGUAUGGCAGAGGGGGGUGGAAUUCCACGUGUAGCAGUGAAAUGCGUAGAGAUGUGGAGGAACACCAAUGGCGAAGGCAGCCCCCUGGGCCAAUACUGACGCUCAUGCACGAAAGCGUGGGGAGCAAACAGGAUUAGAUACCCUGGUAGUCCACGCCCUAAACGAUGUCAACUAGGUGUUGGGUGGGUAAAACCAUUUGGUACCGUAGCUAACGCGUGAAGUUGACCGCCUGGGGAGUACGGCCGCAAGGUUAAAACUCAAAGGAAUUGACGG